UAAUUCUAUGUUUAAUUUUUUGAAGAACUGCCAUACUAUUUUCAUAGCAGCUACACCAUUUUACAUUCCCAGUGACAGUGCACAAGGGAUUCAAACUCUCCACAUGCUCACCAAUGCUUGUUAUUUUCUGUGGGGUUUUGGUUCUUUUUUUUUAACAAUAGCAGUCCUAAUGGGUAUGAAGUGUAUCUCCCAGUUUUGAUGAAAGAGAUUUUAAAGAUUGGCUGGUUUAUCCUCGUGUAGGGAAUUCUACAUAGAGUUACUUACCUAUGCAAUUCUCCAAAGCCUCCAGCAAAUUUAAGCACAUGACUUUGCUGAGACUAUCUCCACAAAGCCUGUUCCAAGGCAGAAGACCACCCCCACACACAAACAGACUCCCUGGCCAUCCUCACCCAUGAGCAGACAAACUCUAAUGUUGCAACUGGCUUUCCAUAAACACAUUCACACCCAACAAUUACCUUAUUUCUGUCAACUAAGCCCUGCUGGGCUCUAACACUGGACAUACUAUAAAUGACCUGUGGCCCCAGGUACCCCCCUGCCUUUUCCCAUCCACAGAGUCCUUCAAAGGCACCCCAGGAGUCAGGCAGUCCACCCUGAGCCCAAGUUGUGGAGAGUGCUCCUGGCCUACCCAGGAAGGCCCUUUCAAGAGUGAGUGAAAGCUGGUAAGAGAGGAAACUGCCCCUCAACCUCCCAAAAGAAGGGCUGUGACCAGAACUUGGCUCUCCUGAAGCUGAGACUUGAGAGAAAUGCUGCCGUGUGGCAAUUCAUUUAAAGUUGAAACUUUCGAUGAGACAGAGCUUUUCACAGGGUAAGCGUCAGGUCUCCCUUAACACAAGAACUUGACUCUCCAGUUCUCAGCUACCUUCUCUUUCCUCCUGUCUCCUCCAUUUCAGUCAUUUCACAAUGGUCAACUCUGCUGCUUGUUAGCAGAAGCGGCAAAAGGUUUUAGGGGGAACAGAUUCUAAAACUGCAUAUCCUCAAUACCUACAACAGUGUGUGCCACAUAAGAGCUUCAUGAAUAUCUGUUGAACAAAUCAAAACUAAAUUUAUCAAAACAAAACAAUAUGUCUAACUUUCACCACCAUGAGUAACCUAGCCAGCUUGAAUCAGUGGCAGUGGGUGGUAAUUGGAGAAGUAUGAAGGCAGCAAAUAUCACAUUUUCAUUUUUAUUAAUUUAAAGGCAUAGUGUGUACAUAUAAACAACAGCAUCAAUCAUGGUUUUCUUUAGGCUGAUGUGUUUUUUAUUUUCUUGCUAAUUCCAUUGAACACACAAACUGAGCUAAAACAACACAUUUAGUUUUCUCAAUAAUUGUUUCUUUUUUAUUAACUCAAGUCUAUAUUCAGGUUUCCUUAGAUUUUACCUAAUAUCUUAUUAUCAUGUGUGCUUAGGUUCCUUCUGGCUGUGACAGUCUCUCAGGCUUUAUGACCUUGACAGGAAGACUGGUCAGGUAUUUUGCAUGCUGUCCCUCAAUUCAGGUUUGUAGGAUGUUUUUCUCACGGUCAGACUGAGGUUGUGGGUUUUUGUGAGGAUGACCACAAAGGUGAAAUGCUCAUCUCACCCAUCCUAUCAAGGGCACAAGUACUGUUUAUUUCUGAGUCACAGCAAACACUUUAUCUACCCCUGAAGCCAUUCCAACUGACAGGCGCUCCCUGAAGAAUGUGCCAGCUGCCAGAUGUUUUUGUUACCUUAAAGACACAUCUAUAACCUAGGGAAAUCAGACUUGGUUUUAUUUAGAUUUUAUGUACAGACUGCAAUGGUUUCACUUCAAUGUUGAAUUCUUUAAACAAACAUCCAUGAUCUCAUAUUUCCACUCAAGAUUGUAGGCCUCUUUAUUUCUUUCCUGAAGGCAUUCCUGGCUCAUGAUCCAGGGGACUCAGAAGUUUGCCCCACGUUCUGGAAUCUGAACCAUUAAAUGAGUGUAUUUAUUCUCAAACCCAUGAUCUGGCAAUCUCAUCCUUCCCAGAGAGCUCUUAACACUAUUCUUGUGAGAAGACACUAAUCACCACAUAAUUUUCUUAGUCUUCUGGGACACAACCUUUGUUCUCAGUUGCAAACCAUGCCACAUCUAGAGUUCAGUAAACUACCCAGGCCUCUCUGAGCACAGAGGGAGAAUGGCAAAGAGAAGUACUCUUACAUCUCUCACUUUCCACAUUACCAAGGAGUGGUGCUCGGUGGUAUAUCUACCCGGGAAACACUCAGUUGGCCCAUUUUUUUUUUAAUCUGCCUUGCGUUUGUUUCACACUGAAGAUGACUUACACCUCAAUGGUUCAAGUCUAAAGCAGAGAUGGCUCAACCAAGGAGCCCAGGAACAGAAGCCACAGGACAGCACAGACCAAAAGUCUCGCUCCAUCCUGAGAGAGAGCGCCCCCGCGGCCGCCUGUCCCGUCCGGAACGCCCAGCGCACAGUUCUUUCUCCUGUCCUGGCGUGGCCACUGCAGGGGGCGCAAAACCAGUAGGUCUUGUUCUCCCCAGUGCACCCAGACCGGGGCCACAGCAAAGGCGGGAGGCCGUCGCUCCUCUGGAAACUCAAUAAAUUCAGUAAACACCAAGGAAUAUAAAAUAUCACCCCAAAUUUCAUCACCCUGAAAUAACUAUUACUGCCAUUAAGAACUCCACUACAGACAUUUUUCCUGACAACUACUGAAGUAUUUACAAGUGAAGUGAUUAUGUUGGGGAUUUGCUUUUUAAAAUUUCACAAGGAAAAAAAUGAGUGAGCAUGGAAAUGGAUUUGUCAAGCAAAUGACACCUGUUACCUCCUCCAGGGGAGGAGUCCUACUGCAUGGAGGAUAGUAAAUAGCUGAAGAAUGCCUGCCACCAAGAGCAGCAAUCCCAGAAUGUCUACUCCUUGGUUUGUAGAUGCCAGGGUUGCCAAGAGAGACACAACUCACGUAGGCACUGGAUGGAACAACACUUUACUCACAUAGGGAAGAAACAGCAAGAUCAGCUUCAGUAGUGGGCAUUGGUCCCCCAUGGCUUAAGAAGAGUUUAAACGCAAAUGAGAAAUCAAGAAAGACUGAAGAAUCUGGGUUUUUUUCCUGAUUAUAAAAUAUUUAAAAUGUAUAUCAAAGUGCAGAGAAUAACAUUUUUAAAAACCCAUAUACUCAUCCCUCCAAAUCUAUCUAAUCCUAAUAUUUUGCUAUAUUUGCUUCCAAUUUUUGAAGGAAAUAGAUAAUAGUGGAGGCUCUCUUUUAUUCCACAUCUCUUUCCUCUUCCUGGUGCCCACAGAAUUGCUUAUCCUUGAAGCUCAAUAUCUCAGUCAGGUUAUAUCACAGUAUUGAUCCAUCAAGUGUCAUUUUUCCUGGUACAUGGUAUAUCCUUUCUUUUGUAGAUUGUUUUCCUUCUUUCGGGCAAUUUUCUUUUUUUUUUUUUUGAGUUUGCAGAUGAUUUACUUUUUUUUUUUUUAAGAUUUUUUAUUUUUUUCCUUGUUCUCCC